rnacentral:rRNA from 1 species
AGCGAACGCUGGCGGCAGGCUUAACACAUGCAAGUCGAGCGGGCACUUUCGGGUGUCAGCGGCGGACGGGUGAGUAACGCGUGGGAACGUGCCCUCUGGUUCGGAAUAACUCAGGGAAACUUGAGCUAAUACCGGGUACGCCCUUUUGGGGAAAGGCUUGCUGCCGGAGGAUCGGCCCGCGUCUGAUUAGCUAGUUGGUGAGGUAACGGCUCACCAAGGCGACGAUCAGUAGCUGGUCUGAGAGGAUGAUCAGCCACACUGGGACUGAGACACGGCCCAGACUCCUACGGGAGGCAGCAGUGGGGAAUAUUGGACAAUGGGCGCAAGCCUGAUCCAGCCAUGCCGCGUGAGUGAUGAAGGCCUUAGGGUUGUAAAGCUCUUUUAUCCGGGACGAUAAUGACGGUACCGGAGGAAUAAGCCCCGGCUAACUUCGUG